AGAAGUUGAGAAAAUUCUGGAUAAAUUCGGAGACCUGACACUACUUGGUCGGAUGAUAAUAUGAGGGGCGCAUAUAUCCGUAUAGCUAUUCUGCUCUACUCUGCUGUUAUACUUGGGAUCACUCGAGUUGUCCAGGUGCAUAGUGCAGGAGCCCCGAAGAAUGUCUUUUUGAACCUUGAAAGAAGAAAUAGACUUCCUAUGUUUAAUCUCGUACAGUUACUGAAGCAUGAAGACACUAUAAAUGAAAACAGCAUGGGAAAACCUUGGGAAGAAGUGAGGUAUUUACCGCGCAAAGAAUUCAAACCUAAGACGUUAAACAUUAAAAGACGGACAAAUAGUACAGGAACAGUUAAGCUGACUGGCCCUGCCGCUCCUUACCGUCGCUUUCCAGUGCUUUGCUUCUUCAAGCUAUGCUCCUCCAGGAGUUUAAACCUGUUCGUCAAUUGAUUCCUCAACUCGCAGCAUGUUUGACUUUUGUUUUUGUUGAAUUUUGUUGUAUUAACUGAAUUUUUUAAGACGUUUGUCGUACUUACAUGGAUCUCUCUAUUUUCAAGCUAACAAAGAAAAUACUU